AUGAAAGACCAUUCUGAUUUUUUUGACCAUACCUUUAUUUUGAAAUCUGUACCCCGGAUGUUUUUCCCGCUGCGUCACUUGUAUUUCCGGCGGCAGCAUCAGUGGCUGCAUCUCAGUGGAGUGAUAAAAAAGCAGCACGUUUGCUCGGGAACCGGUUUUCUUUAUCUCUUCUUUUCCUUUUCUUCAGUUUGGUUGUAUCGCUCGUCUGGAGUCGGGGAGUCCUCCUUGACCACCGCGACCAUGUACGGGCCACGCAAACCCGCGCACGGCACGCCGUACGGACCCCCGCCACCACACGGCCCUCCCUUCUCCCACAGGCGGCCCUGUGGACCUGCUCCUCCCGGACACUUGCCCCCGGGACCUUUCGGACCAUUUUCGACACCAGAUAGCCAUUUUCUCCAGAACAGAGCACCAAGAGAGCGUUUCAUGAGUCCCCACUGUAGCAGCUUCUCCAUAGACCGUAGUACGGUGAUGCAGCAUGCAGAACCACCACAACUCCCAAAGUGGAAUCCCACCCCUGUGGAUCAUCAUCUUCAAGACAACAGUCAACGAGCUGGAGAGGAAUUCUUGAGAUGCAUUGCGGCUAAUAAGCCUCUCCCAGAUUAUCUAAAGGGGGACAUGGCAUACAACCUUGCUGAGGCCUUAAAGUCGGCUAAUGUCCUGAAAGAUGUAGUCAAAUCAGACCAUGAGUUCCAGAAGCAUGUGAACCGGAGCGGAAGUCGAAGCAGAAGCCGUGACAGAAGCCGUGGAAAAUCUCGUGCUAAGAGCUCUGCGCGAAGCAGGAGCCGAGUGCGCAGCCGAAGCAGAGGAAGGAGUAAAAGUCACGCUCAUGGCAAGAGUCGCGCUAGAAGCAAAAGCAGGGCAAGAAGCAAGAGCAGGGCAAGAAGCAAGAGCAGGGCAAGAAGCAAAAGCAGGGCAAGAAGCAAGAGCAGGGCAAGAAGCAAAAGCAGGGCAAGAAGCAAGAGCAGGGCCCGCAGUAAGAGUCGGAGCAGCAGCCGAAGCAGGAGGAAAAGUCGUGCACGGAGCAAGAGUCGGGUCAGGAGGUCCGAGUCACGAAGUAGCAGCAUUGAAAAGAGCCGUGCUGCCAACUGUAAUAAUUGGACAGGGAAAAGUCUGUUGCAGGGACUGAAGAUGGUCAUGAACAGCAAGGAACUGGAAGAGCGGUUGCCUACCCUCAAAGACGCCAUCUUCACUAUUCAGACGUCUGACAGCAAAAAGGUUCUGGAUGAGCAUGACGAAGCCAUGAAUUUGGCUUCUCUGGAAAACGACAGUAUGCUUCUUCCCCACGACAGAGUAGGCAGUGACUUCUCCUGGCUCCAAUCAACGAAGGAAGAGGACUCCACAGACAGGAAAGCUGAAGAACUUGAAGACGAGGAGUCGUUCCUAUAUGGGAAUGAAGGCACUGGAAGAAAACCAACCACUAAAUCCUCUACCGCCCUUUUCCCAGUGUUUUCUCAGACCGGAGAACAUUCCAAACUGCAUAAAAUGGAUGUUUCUGCUCCGAGCAGUCAACAGCAUAAUAAGAGCAUGUCCGCACUCGGUAGCUUUGGGGAUCUGCUCGACCUGAAGGUGCCUCUUCAAAUGAUUUCCUCUUUUAACCUGGACAGCGGUGAUUAUGAGAAGAUCAGGAGCAUAUUAAGAAGUCAGGGCACAGCAGACAUCAGCAAUAUCAUGGCGAAGAUGCAGGGGGAGAAGCAGCCGUCUCCUGCAGAUCCAACAGCGGCGGCCUUCGCUUUGCCAGCAAUGAAAAACCCUAAUGUACAGCAAGCUCUGGAAUCUCUACAGUCUCUGAUAAAAGCGACAAAGGAGAAGCGGGAAAAAGGUGACGGCAGUGGCACGCCUCACACCUCUGACAAACACAAGUCAAGUGACGAUGGGGAACUGAAGACAGAGAAACAGGCAAGAAUGAGUAAAAUGGAAUCUUUGAUGAAAGAAAUGGAGGGAUUGAUGAAACAGGACGGACUGAGUUUUCUGACACCAGUGGUUGGGUUUUACUGCCAAAAAUGUGAGGAGUUCAUUGGAGAUUUAAGCUCUGCUGAAAAACAUGCGGCCAUCCACCAACACACUAACUCUAGCAGUAAAAUGCAAGUGGGUCAACAUGCUGGACAGACCACUGAAGGCAGCAAAGGACACUCCCACUCAAUUAGCAGCGGUGGCGGCCAACGACACCCACACCCCUCAGACAGGAGAGAUCACAGGAACUACGCCUACCAGAGAGAUUCAGGAGACCACAGAAAUCGCAGAGACCAGCAGCAGGGCUGGAGGAGUGAGCAGGAUAACAGAGGCAAGGUCGACGACAACUGCAGAAAUCACAGGGAGGGGCCGGAGAACAUCUCCUUGAAGGAGGAGAUGAGUAAGGAGAGGAUGCUCAUCACGGUGUCACGUGGACUGACUCCGCCGAACGUAAAAGUCAAAGAGGGGAAGAUCCCUGACGUCAAGGUCUGAGUUUUAUCUUCUCGCUCCUGGACACCAUGCGGUAGUUUUCCUUUCUCUUCCCAGUUAGCUCUUCUUUGCUGGUGAGAUCAGAAGACGGAGGUAGGCCGUCAGAAGUGAUUCAUCAUUGUCCUUAAAGGAACAGUCUGACCUGUCGGGAAGUGCACACCUACAUUAAUAAGAGAAGAGUAGUAUCAGUUUCAUCUCUGUGCGUCUAGUAUCGAAUGAGUAAUGCGGAUGUUUUGACCUGUUGGAGGCGCCAUCCUCUCGAUACAACCUCUUCCAGUAUUUGUGCUCACCAUGUGUAAACAUGUCCCACAAUGACACACACACAUACACACAUGAAAUCGAUAUUAAUCUUCUCCUUUGGCUGUCGCUACCUUUUCAAACAAGUGCAUUUCCUGACUGUAGACAAGCUCCUCUUACUGUGUCGCUACCAACAGGUUUUUAUAUGAAAAUGACGAUGUAAAUGUUUAACGUUUCAUCUUCUGAUUAAAUGUUUGAAAAAGGAAGCUUGUGUUAUUCCUUAAAACACAUUUAUCUUUCUUCUUGAUACUUAGAAUUUUCGAGCUAGACAUGUAAUAUUUUUCCAUUUUCUACUGACUUGGAUGCAUGAAAAACAACAUGACGCGUCUCUUGUGGUGAAAUUUUAGAUGAAAAAACAAAUAUGUGUGCAAUUUAAUAAAGGAUGACUCAAAGUCAUGUUAUUGUAAAGUGACAACACAAGUACCUUCACCUCUUUGCAGCACAUUACCAAAUUUACAGGUAGGCAGCAGAAUCCUGAACAUUUAGUGCUGACUUUUCUACUUUACAUUGAUAUAUACAGUACAUAUACAUUAUGACAUACUUUUGUCAUUUACACUGGAGGCACGGGCAAUGUUUUGAGUCGCAGUGAGGAGUUUGCAGUAGAACUGUUUUUAUAGGUAGAUACGCAGGUAUCAGUCGCAACACACCUUACAUUGAUACAAAAAUUACAAAUACAAAUGUAAAAAUAUGAAGAAAAAAAAGGAAUAUAUAUAUAUAUGAAGAAUGUACAAAACAUAAUGCUGUAAUGAAGACAGAACUUUCGGUCAUAGCUUCGUCCUACAGCAACGGGUACUGAGCCACGACAUGAGAUGAAGAGAAACGGACGGAGGGUUCACGGGAUGAAGAGCAGCACAGUCUCCAGACGUAAACCUCACGGACACCAGGUGAAGGCAAAGCAAACUACAAGCUCAACACAUCAGUGUCAACUUCUGGGACAAACUUUGUGAACAGUGUUUCGUUUCCAAUUAAAAGAAAGAACUUAAUGAGUGCGUUCAACUGGUAAAUGAG
ensembl:lncRNA